rnacentral:rRNA from 1 species
GAUGAACGCUGGCGGCGUGCCUAAUACAUGCCAGUCGAGCGGACGGACGAGGAGCUUGCUUCUCUGAUGUUAGCGGCGGACGGGUGAGUAACACGUGUAUACCCUACCUAUAAGACUGGGAUCACUUCGGGAAACCGGAGCUAAUACCGGAUAAUAUUUUGAACCGCAUGGUUCAAAGGUGAAAGACGGUCUUGCUGUCACUACUAGAUGGAUCCGCGCUGGGUUGGCUAGUUGGUAAGGUAACGGCUUACCAAGGCUACGAUGCAUAGCCGACCUGAGAGGGUGAUCGGCCACACUGGAACUGAGACACGGUCCAGACUCCUACGGGAGGCAGCAGUAGGGAAUCUUCGGCAAUGGGCGAAAGCCUGACGGAGCAACGCCGCGUGAGUGAUGAAGGUCUUCGGAUCGUAAAACUCUGUUAUUAGGGAAGAACAUAUGUGUAAGGAACUGUGGACAUCUUGACGGUACCUAAUCAGAAAGCCACGGCUAACUACGUG